GCAGAAGGUGGCAGCAACACAACAAUAAGGGUGCCGACUGCAUUAAACACCAAAGAAGAAGAAACAAAAGAUGGAGACUUUCAGCGGCCGCACUUUAGAAAUAAUUUAUACUCUGCUCUUAUUGGCUGUGGUCGUUUUGUCCUGGUUUUACGUCAUCUACGCCAGCAGAGUGGCAGCUCAUUGGCUCCUGGAGCAGAGGGCCGCCCUCCUACGUCAUGACUGACAGGCGGUGGACGGCGUUAUGUGGCAUCAUGAUGCCAGGGUUCGCAUCCUGAUCAGAGACCCUGCUUCAGGCCAGAGAGGCAGGAUGACAGGAAGACGACUGUGUUGACCUGAAAUAACCUGCACUUAAGGACUCAGCGAGGAAACGGCCUUGGAGCAAAGGAUUGUGGGUAUGGCGUACCUCACCCCCGAACUGAUAGCAAAUAAGAACUCUGGGCUUUGAAAACCCGGCUGAUGUUUUUAGGAUGAAAUAAACAUUUG